rnacentral:lncRNA from 10 species
UCUGGAAACUUUUCCUGAAUACAUAUUUAAAGAACUACAGAAGACAAAAAUGAAAUUGCAUUGAAUGACAAUUAGAGACAAGUUUGUUCUUUCGAAAAAAUUGGAUAUUUGCUUUGUAAUUUUCACCAAUUUUAUUUUCCCGAAUUAUUUCUAUUUUUAAUGUAGAAACAAAAGUAUCUGAGAUGGGUCUAAGAUAUCAGAGAAUUAUCUGUAUUUGUAUUGAGAUAUAUCAAAAUAUAAUGUUAAUAUGAUUUGUCACUGAACUAUAUGAUAACUCAGUCGUACUUCUGUCUUUUAAAAUUGGCUACAGUUAAACUUCAAUCUGUCAAUAAAAAGUAAAAGCUACCAAAGUGGGAAUUCUAAAAUUAUAACAUGUGAUAAAAUCUCAGGGAGAAGUUUUGGAUUCUGUUGUUUUUAUUUUCUGCCAUUAGUGCCGAUUUGAGCGGUAACUGACCUCAUGAAACAUGGAAGUAUUAUGUACAAGGAACUGACCCCUGAGGAAUUGAAGGUCAGCACUAAAAUAAAAAUGUAGGGGGAAAUGCAACUAAUAAAAUGUAGGAAAAAAAAUGUGAACAGAAAAUAUAAUAAACCUACAUGGUGGUGCUUACGUAGAUAAAACUGAAAGAGGAUUGUAAAUAGAACUGUAAGAAUGGAUUUGUCUACCAUUUAUUAUAUUUUGUUAAAAAUAAAGAAAUUCAAUUUACAAUAUUGAAUUUUACUAGACUUUCUGGUUUGAAAAGCUAGAGUUUCUUUUUCCUUUCAGAAGGCUUGUAUUCAGGUAAUACUGAUGAAGAGAAUCCUCAA